CUGGCAGGGAUUCUGGGUUGUAGCAGGAACCUGCAGGAGAAGAUGAGAAUGCACCUUGGUUCAUGUGGAAAACAAGUCCAAGUUACUUAAUAUGACUGGAUGCUUUGGACCAGUGUUAGAAAUGAGACACCAUCUAAAGCUGCAACUUUCUGGCAAAGCCCUGCUGUCCUGCCAGCAACAGAAAAGCAGCCUUCCAGAAGAAUCUUCUCCUUGUCUGGAGCAUUCUAGGCUUCAGAGCUGUCUGGGAUCAGCACACCUCACCGUUGGUAGACGGAGUGGCUGCAUUCAACCCCUCCCCAAUAUGAUAUGAACUGGAACAACCUUGCCUCUUCUUGCACAAUCCGGGGAAACCUUGCUGUACCCCACU